GUCAAGUCAUUCCAGGUUCUUCUCUGUCUGCCCGCAGAGCUGUUCCAUGCCCUGCUUAGAGGACCAGGAGAAGGGAUAGCCACCGCUGCUUGCUGGAGGCUGUGGCACCGAUGCUGGCCUCACUGCGUUUGGUGGUGACAGAGACUGCUGCGUGGCUGGAGCGGUAGGAAGGAGAAAACAGUUUUGGGCCCAGGGAUGCAGGGGAGGUCCUAGCAAGUGAACACACCAGCUGCUGCCCUUCUCCCUGGCCAUUGACACAUCUGGUUCAUCUCAGCAUCCCCAGGUGUUACCUGAAGGGCAGAGUGUAGCCAGCCCAGGCCUGGGAAUGCACCAACACAGGGCCCCUGGUGAUAGCUGUGGUCAUGGACAUGUCCACCGAUGUGGACAUCUUCAAGGACCUGCUGGAUGCCGGUUUCAAGAGGAAAGCAGCCGUGUACAUUAUCAUGGACGAGAGUAAAGUCAAGUACAUUCUGCACAUGUUCUGCACACUCAACUGCAUGUUGAGUGGACCCGAGUGCACCUGGGGCACCUCAAGGCAUCCACUGAAGAUCUUGAAAUGUAUCCCUGAUGGAUAAAGGAGGACUACUAUAUUCUGAAUAGAUUUUAUAAGAAGAAAAUUAAUGAUUCACAAACUAUUUUAACCUUAGAAUUUAAAUAAACAUGUAUAUUCCCUACAAGUUAAAAACAAAUACUGUAAUAAUCUAUGGCCGCUCUUUCUUAUUUUUAUGCCAGCAAGGUAAUGGACUGGUAUUGAUUUGCUGAGGUUCAAAUUUUGGAUUCUAGUUUUUCUUAAACAUGACUCAUAUUAAGAAGAAUAUGUUCAACUCUGGUGUGCUUUAUCAGUCAAAAAUACAAAUUAAUUAUGCAGAGAAUAUUAUUUUCUUUUUUGAGACGGAGUCUCCCUCUGUCCCCCAGGCUGGAGUG